rnacentral:rRNA from 1 species
GACGAACGCUGGCGGCGUGCUUAACACAUGCGAGUCGAGCGGAAACGCCCUGUUUCCAUAGUACGCGAGUGGCGAACGGACGAGUAACACGUAGGUGAACUGCCCUGCACUUCGGGAUAAGCCUGGGAAACUGGGUUUAAUACCGGAUAGGAGCCAUUACUAGUGUGCAGGAUGGAGAGUUUUUACGUUGUAGGAUGAGUUAGCGGCCUAUCAGAGUGUUGGUAGGUUAAUGGCCUACCAAGGCGGCGACGGGCAGUCGGCCGGAGAGGGUGGACGGCUACACUGGCACUGAGAGACGGGCCAGAAGCCGACGGGAAGCAGCAGUGAUGGAUAUAAGACAGAGGGCGCCAGGCUGAUGCAACGACGCAGCGUGGGGGAUGACGAAACUUGGGUUGUAUACUCCUAUCGCUAGGGACGAAACUUUCUUUGACGGUACCUAGAUAAGAAGCACCGGCUAACUACGUG